rnacentral:rRNA from 1 species
UACGUAGGGUGCGAGCGUUGUCCGGAAUUACUGGGCGUAAGAGCUCGUAGGUGGUUGUCGCGUUGUUCGUGAAAACUCACAGCUUAACUGUGGGCGUGCGGGCGAUACGGGCAGACUGGAGUACUGCAGGGAGACUGGAAUUCCUGGUGUAGCGGUGGAAUGCGCAGAUAGUCAGGAGGAACACCCGGUGGCGAAGGCGGGAUCUCGUGGGGCGAGUAACUGACGCUGAGGAGCGAAAGCGUGAGGAGCGAA